rnacentral:rRNA from 1 species
UACAGAGGGUGCAAGCGUUAAUCGGAAUUACUGGGCGUAAAGCGUGCGUAGACGGUUGCGUAAGUCAGAUGUGAAAGCCCCGGGCUCAACCUGGGAAUUGCAUUUGAGACUGCGUAGCUAGGGUGCGGAAGAGGGAAGCGGAAUUUCCGGUGUAGCGGUGUAAAUGACGUAGAUAUCGGAAGGAACACCAGUGGCGAAAGCGGCUUCCUGGUCCAGCACCGACGUUCAGGCACGAAAGCGUGGGGAGCAAACAGG